CAUAGGUUAAUGAGGCGAACCGGGGGAACUGAAACAUCUAAGUACCCCGAGGAAAAGAAAUCAACCGAGAUUCCCCCAGUAGCGGCGAGCGAACGGGGAGCAGCCCAGAGCCUGAAUCAGUGUGUGUGUUAGUGGAAGCGUCUGGAAAGGCGCGCGAUACAGGGUGACAGCCCCGUACACAAAAAUGCACAUACUGUGAGCUCGAUGAGUAGGGCGGGACACGUGGUAUCCUGUCUGAAUAUGGGGGGACCAUCCUCCAAGGCUAAAUACUCCUGACUGACCGAUAGUGAACCAGUACCGUGAGGGAAAGGCGAAAAGAACCCCGGC
rnacentral:rRNA from 1 species